UUUUGCACUCCGAGUUGUUGUUGCCAUUCUCAUUUUACACGCAUAAGGGAGUGUAACAUCAUUAAAACAUCGCCUCAAUGCAGUUCCUCUAGAGAAGAUUGUGUUAUAAUUGUCAAUCCUCAGUCUGGUAUGGUACUUGAUGCAUCCUGCUAUGAAGUGAAACUAAAGUGUUAUACAGGGUGUUCGUCGCAACUUUGGUAUUUAGAAUGUUCACAAAAUGGCAACUUUUUCAUUGUCAACGUGGGAAAUGAGAAAGUCCUGGAUAUCCAAGGUGGUGUCAAAAGUUCCGCCAAUUUGAUAACUUAUGAAAAACAUGGUGGCGAUAAUCAACAAUGGCUUAUCGAUCAUUGUGACAACACCAUCUCCAAUCCAUGCGAUGAUUUGGUUGUUGACGUAUUCGAGCAACGCUUUUGUUGUGGAACGAAUGUGAUUGCUUACACAAAACAUGGAGGACCCAAUCAAAAGUUUUGUCUUCAGUAUGUUUGACCUAAAAUGGUAAAAAACAACAAUCAAGCUGUGUAAUUGGCGACUCCACAUUUUGUCUGCCUUACAUAUCUAUAUUGUACUUUCAUUACUUUUCUAUUAAAACAGAAAACAAG